GUACACUCCUGCGGGAGGCAGCAGUGGGGAAUAUUGGACAAUGGGCGCAAGCCUGAUCCAGCCAUGCCGCGUGAGUGAUGAAGGCCCUAGGGUUGUAAAGCUCUUUCACCGGUGAAGAUAAUGACGGUAACCGGAGAAGAAGCCCCGGCUAACUUCGUGCCAGCAGCCGCGGUAAUACGAAGGGGGCUAGCGUUGUUCGGAUUUACUGGGCGUAAAGCGCACGUAGGCGGACUAUUAAGUCAGGGGUGAAAUCCCGGGGCUCAACCCCGGAACUGCCUUUGAUACUGGUAGUCUUGAGUUCGAGAGAGGUGAGUGGAAUUCCGAGUGUAGAGGUGAAAUUCGUAGAUAUUCGGAGGAACACCAGUGGCGAAGGCGGCUCACUGGCUCGAUACUGACGCUGAGGUGCGAAAGCGUGGGGAGCAAACAGGAUUAGAUACCCGAGUAGUCCC
rnacentral:rRNA from 1 species